GCCAGAGUCACUUGUAUUAGCCAAACUGGACAGAUUCCUUUUCUUUUUUUUUUUUGAAAGUAAAGAAAGCCUAAACCACCUAAAUUUAUUUGGAAAGUGAAGAGAAAAUACAAAGAUGGGUUAGUCCAAGAUGGAGUAAGCCCAUAGAAGUAUCACAGUGUGAUUUUAAUACAACUUUGCAACAGCAGAAAACAAACAGAGAGACAGAAUGGCCUACAAGAUGCUUUGGCAAGCCAAAGAAAAGGAUCAGCAGAGAAACAGAGCUAGCAUGAAAGUUUUCAGAGUGGAGCAGAUGACUGACCUAAUGUGCAAUUGGACUACUGAUUUGAGAGAUGCUUCUAUGGCUGCUUCCCAAUAUCCCGCAGCAGUAACAAAGGAAGCAAGGGAGCCCCGCGA
rnacentral:lncRNA from 1 species